AGUGACCGAUAGCGCAUAGUACUGUGAAGGAAAGGUGAAAAGGACCCCGGGAGGGGAGUGAAAGAGAACCUGAAACCUUGUGCCUACAAGCACAUAGAGCCCGUCAAAGGGUGAUAUGGUACUUUUUGUAGAACGGUCCGGCGAGCGAUUGUACGUUGCGAGCUUAAGGUCUUAAGGACUGGAGGCGUAGCGAGAGCGAGUCUAAACAGGGCGUUUAGUAGCGUGCAAUGGGCCCGAAACCGGGUGACCUACCCAUGAUCAGGCUGAAGUGAAAGUAAAAUUUCAUGGAGGGCCGAACCGACCUCCGUUGAAAAGGCGGCGGAUGAAUUGUGGGUAGCGGAGAAAUUCCAAUCGAACUCGGAGAUAGCUGGUUCUCCCCGAAAUAGCUUUAGGGCUAGCCUCAUGUUAGAUAUCCGGAGGUAAAGCACUGAAUGGCCUAGCGUCCGAGAGGAUAGCGAAGCCUAUCAAACUAAGAAUGCCGGAAUAUUGAUGCAUGGGAGUCAGACAGUGUGAGAUAAAUCUCAUUGUCAAAAGGGAAACAGCCCAGAUCUACAGCUAAGGUCCCAAAUUGUAUCUAAGUGGAAAACGAUGUGGAAAUACGCAGACAACCAGGAUGUUGGCUCAGAAGCAGCCACUCAUUUAAAGAGUGCGUAAUAGCUCACUGGUCGAGCGUCUCUGCGCGGAAAAUUUAACGGGGCUAAGAUACAAACCGAAGCUUAGGCUGCACUUUUAGUGCGGGGUAGGGGAGCGUUGUGUAAGCGGAGAAACAGUAGCGAAAGCGGCUGUGGAGUUUACAGAAGUGAGAAUGCCGGAAUGAGUAGCGCGAAUGAUGUGAGAAUCAUCAUGGCCGGAAACCUCAGGUUUUUGGAGGAAGGUUCGUCCGCUCCAAGUUAGGCGGGAGCUAAGGUGAGGCCGAAAGGCGUAGCCGAUGCACAGACGGUAGAGAUUCCGUCACCACCAAAAGAGUUAAGCACAGGGACACAUUUGAAGUCUCAGAGCCGGGUGUUGGUUCCGGUAGAGAUCGAGGGAAAUUAGUACCGAAGUCUGGGAUGGAAGAUGGCGAGAAAAGCUGUGUGUAUUUCUGAGGUGCCCGUACCGCAAACCGACACAGGUAGGUAGGAAGAAGAUUCUAAGGCCAACGGGAGAAGGGUUGUUAAGGAACUCGGCAAGUUGACCCCGUAACUUCGGAAUAAGGGGUGCUCAUGAAAGUGAGCCGCAGAGAAUAGGCCCAGGCAACUGUUUACCAAAAACACAGGUUUGUGCUAAAUCGAAAGAUGACGUAUACGAGCUGACGCCUGCCCGGUGCUGGAAGGUUAAAAGGAGAUGUGCAAGCAUUGAAUUGAAGCCCCAGUGAACGGCGGCCGUAACUAUAACGGUCCUAAGGUAGCGAAAUUCCUUGUCAGGUAAGUUCUGACCCGCACGAAUGGCGUAAUGAUUUGGGCACUGUCUCAACAGCCCGCCCGGCGAAAUUGUAGUACCGGUGAAGAUGCCGGUUACCCGCGACAAGACGGAAAGACCCCAUGGAGCUUUACUGUAGCCUAAUAUUGGGUUUCGAUGUUGCAUGCACAGGAUAGAUGGGACACAGGGAAACAAGUGCUUUGGCAUUUGUGGAGUGGCCGUUGGGAUACCAUCCUUGCGAUAUUGGAAUUCUAACCUGCGCCUUUGAAUCAAGGCGGGGGACAUUGUUAGGUGGGCAGUUUGACUGGGGCGGUCGCCUCCUAAAGAGUAACGGAGGCGUUCAAAGGUUCGCUCAGCUUGAACGGAAAUCAAGCAAAAGAGUGCAAACGCAGAAGCGAGCCUAACUGCGAGACUGACGGGUCGAGCAGUAACGAAAGUUGGAGUUAGUGAUCCGGUGGUAUGUGAGUGGAAAUGCCAUCGCUCAACGGAUAAAAGCUACCCUGGGGAUAACAGGCUGAUCUCCCCCAAGAGUCCACAUCGACGGGGAGGUUUGGCACCUCGAUGUCGGCUCAUCGCAUCCUGGGGCUGUAUUCGGUCCCAAGGGUUUGGCUGUUCGCCAAUUAAAGCGGUACGCGAGCUGGGUUCAGAACGUCGUGAGACAGUUCGGUCCCUAUCUGUCGUGGGCGCAGGAUAUUUGAUGGGAGCUGUUCCUAGUACGAGAGGACCGGAGCGGACGUACCUCUGGCGCACCAGUUGUUCUGCCAAGGGCAUAGCUGGGCAACUAUGUACGGAUCGGAUAAACGCUGAAAGCAUCUAAGCGUGAAGCCGACCCAAAGAUAAG
rnacentral:rRNA from 1 species